ACCAUCGAAUUUCUGAGAAAUUAAAAAUGACUGGGUUCUGGAUUUUAAUUUUGAUAUUCGGCAUUAUAUAUACAGUCCAAACUGGUAGACGCUGGGUUACUGCACAAUCCUUCAAAGAGUCACCAGUUUAUCAGCCUAAUAAAGAGCUCAUUGUGGAUAUCGGAGACUCGGCUACUCUGUGGUGUUGUAUUUCUGAAAAAGAAGCUGGAACACGAAUUGCCUGGUUUAAGCAACCCAAAGGAAAAAAACCUCAGAUUAUAGUAACAAUAUAUAAAACAGCUGGAGAAACAUUUUACAGUGAACCAUUUGCAUCACAGUUACAAAUAGGAAGAUAUUUAAACUGUUUUAAUAUGACCAUUUCAAGGGUCAUGACGUCUGAUGAAGCCAUGUACUACUGUGCACUGAUAACACCCAACAUUGUGUUUGCAGAUGGGACUUAUUUAAAACUUAAAGGUGAUCAUGUUACUACUGCACCAGAAACACAUAAACCAGUACUAAAUAAUAAUUCAGUGGUGUGUGAACCAACACUGCAGGGAAACAGCACUUAUAUGAACACACAUGAGAAAACAGGAGAAGAAAAUGUGAUAAGAUAAAUGCUUCUGUAGAAAACUUUACAGAAACAGGGCAGGAAACUGAAAUGGAAACACUGAACUAUGCAGCUUUGAAAUUUUCCAAGCAGAAAGCCACAGCUAAAAAAAUAAAAACUGUCUCAUUAAAUGAGUGUGUG